UACGUAGGGGGCAAGCGUUGUCCGGAAUUAUUGGGCGUAAAGAGCGUGUAGGCGGUCCGGUAAGUCAGCUGUGAAAGUCAAGGGCUCAACCCUUGAAAGCCGGUUGAUACUGUCGGGCUAGAGUCCGGAAGAGGCGAGUGGAAUUCCCGGUGUAGCGGUGAAAUGCGCAGAUAUCGGGAGGAACACCAGUGGCGAAGGCAGCUCGCUGGGACGGUACUGACGCUGAGACGCGAAAGCGUGGGGAGCAAACAGG
rnacentral:rRNA from 1 species